AUUGAACGCUGGCGGCAUGCCCUACACAUGCAAGUCGAACGGUAACGGGCCUUCGGGUGCCGACGAGUGGCGAACGGGUGAGUAAUACACCGGAACGUGCCCGAUCGUGGGGGAUAACGAGGCGAAAGCUUUGCUAAUACCGCAUACGAUCUACGGAUGAAAGCAGGGGACCGCAAUGCCUUGCGCGGACGGAGCGGCCGAUGGCAGAUUAGGUAGUUGGUGGGAUAAAAGCUUACCAAGCCGACGAUCUGUAGCUGGUCUGAGAGGAUGACCAGCCACACUGGGACUGAGACACGGCCCAGACUCCUACGGGAGGCAGCAGUGGGGAAUUUUGGACAAUGGGCGCAAGCCUGAUCCAGCCAUGCCGCGUGCAGGAUGAAGGCCUUCGGGUUGUAAACUGCUUUUGUACGGAACGAAAAGCCUUCUUCUAAUACAGGAGGGUCAUGACGGUACCGUAAGAAUAAGCACCGGCUAACUACGUGCCAGCCGCCGCGGUAA
rnacentral:rRNA from 1 species